CAACACAGCCGCCAAGCCACGUCUAAAAUAGAAUGUCUUUCGAACGCUAUUUGUUUUCUUACGUAUCCCUCCGCCGUGCAUGGUAACGCCGUUGCUAAGGGCGCAGUUUUCGCGCCACCAGCGGGAUGAAAUUUCAUCCGAGUUGACAGCUGAUUGCAUCACCAUUUCCAGUCCUUUGGUCAUCAUGGCGAAUGAGUUCUACCCAAGAUCAGCUGAGGAUGUGCUUCUUGCAGCUCACAGUGUCUGUAACUUUCAUUAGGUGAUGCUCUGCUGUGGAUCUGAUGAGGCUGACAGCUGGGUUUACUUAGCCAUAUCAUUUGGCUGAUUGGCAUUUCUAUAUAUCAUUUAUAUCUAUAUCAUACUGUACAGAGUAUCAUUUCACAACAGGCCACAGCAAGUAAAUCUUAUGGAUGACAUGCCAAGUGAAAAAAUAAUGUAAAUGAGAUAGUGAAACAAGAUGGAUGAAAAAACAAGAUGGCUAAAUUUUCAAAAUAGACACCAUAAACGUUGUAACAUGAUUUAAAGUGACAAAACGUGGUAUCACAACUAACACGGCAUUCAUUCCUGUAUUAAAGAAGUGAACUAGUAC